UAUAUAUAUAUAUAUAUAUAGCAGAAGCUGCAUAUUUAAAACUUGUGUUAGUACAAACAUAACCUAUAUACUUUGAUGAUACUUCUAAUUUUCCUAUUAUUGGCUCUGGUGUAUGGCUUCAUUAAAUAAUUUUUUAAUGGAAAUGCUCCAUCACCGAUGAUAAAGUAUGGACAUAGCACAUCUGUUCUAGAAUAUAUAUCAAGUUAUACAGAAUAACAUGUUCAAUGCAGAAUAAGCUACAAUCAUCUAUAACUACCAUAUAUACAAAUUUAGGGAAAUUGAUUGGCAGUUUAUUUUGGAGGUAACCAUUUAAGUGUUUGUUUGUUUGUGUGGCAAUAAAGACUAUAUGUGCUGUACCGGUAUAGAAUCAAAAUUGGUGUAUGUGUCAUAUGUGUAUAUAGAGGCUAUAUAUAUAGACUUACAAACAUCUUGAUGUAAGCUUUGUAUUUUUUAUCAAUAAACAAUAUUUCGCUUAAA